GAAAUGCGAUAAGUAGUGUGAAUUGCAGAAUUCAGUGAAUCAUCGAAUCUUUGAACGCACAUUGCGCUCUCUGGUAUUCCGGGGAGCAUGCCCGUUUCAGUACCAUCAGAAUCCAUCACGAGAUGGCGCAACUUUUCGUGGAGAUGGGUGCUGCUGCACGCUCCGGCUUGUGCAGGCACCUAAAAGGCAGAGUGUCGGGGCCUCGGCCAGAAUCCUUGACCUUCGACGCUCUCAGCGCAACAGACUGGGAUUCUAUUCGCUCUGAGGGUCGAAGCAGGGGUGGGCAUGGGAGAUCACCGGAGGUUUGAGAUUCAAUUCACAAACCUCUGCAAAACUUGGUCUGAAAUCGGGCAGGAGAACCCGCUGAACUUAA
rnacentral:misc_RNA from 1 species